rnacentral:rRNA from 1 species
CACGUAGUUGGCCGGUGCUUCUUCUCGACCUACCGUCAACCCACCACAAAGUGGGCCUUCGUCGAUCGCGAAAGAGGUUUACAACCCGAAGGCCGUCAUCCCUCACGCGGCGUUGCUGCGUCAGGCUUCCGCCCAUUGCGCAAGAUUCCCCACUGCUGCCUCCCGUAGGAGUCUGGGCCGUGUCUCAGUCCCAGUGUGGCCGAUCACCCUCUCAGGCCGGCUACCCGUCGUCGCCUUGGUAGGCCAUCACCCCACCAACAAGCUGAUAGACCGCGGGCCCAUCCCCCACCGAAAAAACUUUCCACAACCAGGCAUGCACCCAGAAGUCAUAUCCGGUAUUAGACCCGGUUUCCCAGGCUUAUCCCGAAGUGGAGGGCAGGUCACCCACGUGUUACUCACCCGUUGCCGCUCGUGUACCCCGAAGGGCCUUACCGCUCGACUUGCAUGUGUUAAGCACGCCGCCAGCGUUCGCCUGAGCCAGGAUCAAACUACU